GCCGCCGCCCCGCCGCCACCGCCACCACCACCACCACCACCGAGGGGAUCCCCCGCCGAGGAGAGACGACCCCUACUGGAAACUGGAACGUAAAGUAGAGUUGCUUUGGGUGAACAAUGCUCAGAGACACAAUGAAGUCCUGGAGUGACAGCCAGUCAGACCUCUACAGCAGUGACCAAGAAGAGGAAGAACAGAUGAUUUUUGGAGAAAAUGAAGAUGAUUUGGAAGAGAUGAUGGAUUUAAGUGACUUGCCUACCUCACUCUUUGCUUGCAGUGUUCAUGAAGCUGUGUUUGAGGUACAGGAAGAAAAGGAAAGAUUUGAAGCACUCUUCACAGUCUACGAUAAUCAAGUUACAUUCCAGUUGUUUAAAAGCUUUAGAAGAGUAAGGAUAAACUUCAGCAAUCCGGAGGCGGCAGCAAGAGCACGGAUAGAGCUGCAUGAAACGGACUUCAAUGGAAAAAAGCUGAAGCUGUACUUUGCACAGGUACACGUAUCCAAUGAAAUAGGUGACAAGUCCUACCUCCUUCCUCCACAACCCGUUAAGCAGUUCCUGAUAUCACCACCUGCAUCUCCUCCAGUUGGAUGGAAACAGAGUGAAGAUGCAACUCCCCUGAUAAACUACGACUUGCUUUGUGCUGUCUCCAAGCUGGGACCAGGGGAAAAGUACGAGCUUCAUGCAGGAACAGAAUCAACUCCCAGUGUCGUUGUCCACGUCUGUGAAAGUGAGACAGAAGAGGAAGAUGAAAUAAAAAACCCCAAACAGAAGAUCAUGCAGACACGGCGUCCGGAGCCGCCCGCGACGAUCCUGAAUGAGUCUAAAGCGUUUGAUUGUACGCUGGAGGUAGGGGGUACCAUGCACUGUUAAAUUGUGUGAUGCUCAAGGUAGUAUCAAAAAAUCAGACACUUAAUGAGUACAUGUGUUGAUGUCUGUACUGCUGCUAUAUGUUAUGUAUAGCGACAACAGAUUUUUACUUGUAGUUGUCUCUCAUGUUCAAAAUUUUGGAUGCCAAUGCUCUGAAAAGCACUUUAAUUUUAGGGACUAGUCCCCCAAGUGUAGCAAAUCCACCUGACUUGAAGUAGUGAAAAAUAGGAAGUCUGGUUGUGGUUUUUGUUUUGGUUUUUUUUUUUCUUCUUUUGUUUGUUUGGUUUUUAAGAUGUUACCCUUUUCUUUAUAUUGUACAGUGUGAUGUACCAAGUGCUGAAAUAAUCUCUUACUUCCUGUCACGAUUGGAUUCAAGAAAGUUCCUUGUAUAGCAGUUAAAAGCUGAUCUGUACUGGUACAACAGCUUCCAGUUAAUAUAGUGUUAAAUGUAAGUGAAACGUAUUCUUUAUGCUAAAAUUCCUCCCAGCUAGUGAUCUUCUGAGGUGAAGAUCUUUGCUUUUCUCAGAAAUAUACCAAGUAUGUGUUUUUAAUUUGACAUGAGGCACAAAUACACGUAUGGAGCUAAAUUCAAGUAGUUUUGGUAACUACGCAGAGAGAGUGCAGGAGGAGGAGCCACAGACCCCUGAGAAGACAGAGUCUGGGUCUGUCCCCAGCUGCUGCUGCUGCUGUCUGUGGUGGAACACUGACAGGUACAGUCGUUUGCACUGACACCUAAUUAGGAGUGAAUGACAAUACGUAGAGUGAAAUGCAGAUUCAGCUAUUGAAUGUUUGUCUCUGAUCCUCUCUGAAAAUAAGGUGACGUUUGUAGCUCUACAGUCCUAGAGAUGGCCUACGUUUAUAAAUGAAUUCAGUGACUGUUAUGUUAUGACUAAGUUAUAUUAGGAGAUAAAACAUCUAGAGUUAAUUUUUAACUUGUGCUCCUAAACUUCUCCAGUCUGUUUCCUAUUUUUUUAAGACAAUGGGUUGCCUGGCUUAGCCAGCUUAUGCAGUUUCAGGCCUCAUUUGCUGUUGUUCAUGCAGACUUUUUCUGUGUGACAUCCUGUCUGUCUGACAGAGCGUCUGCUGCUUUGGAGACCAGGAUGCAUCUUUUAAAAUACAGAUCUCUUAAUUUUGUGAUCUUGUGUUAAUUGUUUUAGUAGGAGGAAGAUAUGUUUCAGUAUAAUGACAUACGCUCCUAUGCUUUUACGCUAUUUUAUAACCAACCUUUUUUAGUCUAGACAGAUUAUUCUUUUUUCUAUUUAAAAGAAUAAAAUUAUUUGUGAACAAACCAGGCUGCUGAUAUUCGUAUGUGUAAAUCAUUCAGGAAUUGGCCUUUUUCAAAUUCAUUUUAGUGUGUUUCAGUCCUACAUGAUGUGCAUAUUGAAUUUUCAGAAGUGUUUUCAGUUGAUUGAAGGUGGAGAGAAAAAGUAAUGGGCAUGAAUUUGCCGUGGGCUUGGUAGUUUUCAACUCUGUCUUGUGCCAGCUCGUGAUCCCUUCCUGCCACCAGCUUCCAGUUGCAAAAUGGGAUCCUGCAGGCAGGUCCUGGUUCCAGAGGCAGGAAUGGUAUAUAUUAAAAAGGUAGGAAGAUUGUUUUUGUUCAUCUUGCCUCCACGGGCAUGAUGUUUCUGUAUCUCUUCAGGUAUUAAAAUCACUCAAAGUCUGACUUCUCUGUCUCACUGUUCCAUGUUACUAAAAAGAAAAAAAAAAAACCCACAACAAAAAAUCUUGUGUUGUUCAUCAGGCUUGUGUAUUUUUAAAAUUCCAGAAGUCCAUUUGGGAUUUUCUGUGGUGUUUCUAUUUUGUUAAUUGUUUAAUUUCUACCCUAUUGUAGAAGUUGCUGUAAGUAGGAAUAAGUGGAAAACCUUCAGAAACAGUUUUAUAACACAAGUAACGUCGUCAAUGUAUCUUGUGUAAAAUGUAUAACAACUUGCAUUCCUACAUCUCUCACUGUGUAAAGACACUUAAAAUAAAACCAAUGCAGUGCCAUUCACA